CUCCAGUUUAUAACCUCACGCACAUAAUUUCCUUUCUGACUUAAACAUCGGAGGGGCGACGAGAACAUACAUCGUUGCCUUUGUUUUUGGUACCGGAAGACUACGAUCGUGCUCAUUCAAAAUACUUAAGCUCGAAAAAUCAACAUGUACGAUUUUUGGGUAGCAUCAGCACUCAUUGGUGAAGACAUGGUUUUCAUAAGAUAUAAAGGAAGACCUAGUUUAAAUCUUUUGGUAUAUGGAGUUGCAAGGCUUGAGUAUAUAACUCAAUCUAUAAAGAGCUUUCUGAGUGAUCCUGACAUAACUUUCAAUGGUGUCAAGGUUAGAGAUGGUGUUUUGAAGCUUAAUAUUGAGUAUUGGCUAUGGCGCGUUGGCAAAUUCAAUUCGCUGAUGGAGUUGUACGACUUAUACGGCAAAGCCUAUUAAUUUUUGUAAAAGUGAUUGAGAAGCAAGGGCUCUUUAAGUCUUAACAUUCAGCAGAUUGAGUAUGCUUGUAUUGAUGCUUAUGCUUUUUAUAGAAUUGGCCACAAACUUCUCGAGGAUGAAUAGAAAGAGAG
rnacentral:lncRNA from 1 species